rnacentral:rRNA from 1 species
CCGGUAAGGUGAUAUGAACCGUUAUAACCGGCGAUACCCGAAUGGGGAAACCCAGUGUGACUCGUCACACUAUCAUUAACUGAAUCCAUAGGUUAAUGAGGCGAACCGGGGGAACUGAAACAUCUAAGUACCCCGAGGAAAAGAAAUCAACCGAGAUUCCCCCAGUAGCGGCGAGCGAACGGGGAGGAGCCCAGAGCCUGAAUCAGCAUGUGUGUUAGUGGAAGCGUCUGGAAAGGCGCGCGAUACAGGGUGACAGCCCCGUACACAAAAGCGCAUGUGCUGUGAGCUCGAUGAGUAGGGCGGGACACGUGGUAUCCUGUCUGAAUAUGGGGGGACCAUCCUCCAAGGCUAAAUACUCCUGACUGACCGAUAGUGAACCAGUACCGUGAGGGAAAGGCGAAAAGAACCCCGGCGAGGGGAGUGAAAAAGAACCUGAAACCGUGUACGUACAAGCAGUGGGAGCACAGGUUUACCUGUGUGACUGCGUACCUUUUGUAUAAUGGGUCAGCGACUUAUAUUCUGUAGCAAGGUUAACCGAAUAGGGGAGCCGGAGGGAAACCGAGUCUUAAUUGGGCGUUAAGUUGCAGGGUAUAGACCCGAAACCCGGUGAUCUAGCCAUGGGCAGGUUGAAGGUUGGGUAACACUAACUGGAGGACCGAACCGACUAAUGUUGAAAAAUUAGCGGAUGACCUGUGGCUGGGGGUGAAAGGCCAAUCAAACCGGGAGAUAGCUGGUUCUCCCCGAAAGCUAUUUAGGUAGCGCCUCGUGAAUUCAUCUCCGGGGGUAGAGCACUGUUUCGGCUAGGGGGCCAUCCCGGCUUACCAACCCGAUGCAAACUGCGAAUACCGGAGAAUGUUAUCACGGGAGACACACGGCGGGUGCUAACGUCCGUCGUGAAGAGGGAAACAACCCAGACCGCCAGCUAAGGUCCCAAAGUCAUGGUUAAGUGGGAAACGAUGUGGGAAGGCCCAGACAGCCAGGAUGUUGGCUUAGAAGCAGCCAUCAUUUAAAGAAAGCGUAAUAGCUCACUGGUCGAGUCGGCCUGCGCGGAAGAUGUAACGGGGCUAAACCAUG